GCAAGUCGAACGGUAACAUUACAGCUUGCUGUAGAUGACGAGUGGCGCACGGGUGCGUAACGCGUAUGCAACCUACCUUACACAGGGGGAUAGCCCGAAGAAAUUCGGAUUAAUACCCCAUGGUACUAUAAGACUUCAUGGUUUAAUAGUUAAAGCAUUGUGGUGUAAGAUGGGCAUGCGUCUAAUUAGCUAGUUGGUAAGGUAACGGCUUACCAAGGCUACGAUUAGUAGGGGGUCUGAGAGGAUUAUC
rnacentral:rRNA from 1 species